rnacentral:rRNA from 1 species
UGAUCCAGAGUACCACGGGACACGUGAAACCCUGUGGGAAGCAGGAGGGACCACCCUCCAAGGCUAAAUACUACCUAGUGACCGAUAGCGUAUAGUACCGUGAGGGAAAGGUGAAAAGAACCCCGGGAGGGGAGUGAAAUAGAACCUGAAACCCUGCACUUACAAGCUGUGGAAGCACAUUUCUUGUGUGACCGCGUACUUUUUGUAGAACGGGCCAACGAGUUACGUUAAGUAGCAAGGUUAAGCACUUAAGGUGCGGAGCCGUAGCGAAAGCGAGUUUUAACUGAGCGUUCAGUUACUUGACGUAGACCCGAAACCGGGCGACCUACCCAUGAGCAGGAUGAAGCGAAAGUAAAAUUUCGUGGAGGUCCGAACCCACGAGCGUUGAAAAGCUCGGGGAUGACUUGUGGGUAGCGGUGAAAUUCCAAUCGAGCCCGGAGAUAGCUGGUUCUCCCCGAAAUAGCUUUAGGGCUAGCCUCAAGGUGAGAGAUACGGAGGUAGAGCACUGAAUGUCCUAGGGGGUAUUGCACCUACCGAAGACUAUCAAACUCCGAAUGCCGUCAUCUUAUACUUGGGAGUCAGACUGUGGGUGAUAAGAUUCAUAGUCGAAAGGGCAACAGCCCAGAUCGUCAGCUAAGGUCCCUAAAUGUAAGUUAAGUGGUAAAGGAUGUGGGAUUGCACAGACAACCAGGAUGUUGGCUUAGAAGCAGCCACUCAUUCAAAGAGUGCGUAAUAGCUCACUGGUCGAGUGAUCCUGCGCCGAAGAUUUCCGGGGCUAAAACUUACUACCGAAGCUACGGCAUCAGUAAUGAUGGGUAGGGGAGCUUCCCAUACGGGUUGAAGCAUGACCGUAAGGACAUGUGGACAGUAUGGGAGUGAGAAUGUUGGCAUGAGUAGCGAGAUGUGGGUGAGAAUCCCACAGGCCGUAAACCCAAGGUUUCCAGGGGAAGGUUCGUCCGCCCUGGGUUAGUCGGGACCUAAGCUGAGGCCGAAAGGCGUAGGUGAUGGACAACAGGUUGAUAUUCCUGUACUACCGAUAACCGUUUGAGAGAAGGGAUGACACAGUAGGAUAAGCUAAGCACACUGUUGGUUAUGUGUGCC